rnacentral:rRNA from 1 species
GACGAACGCUGGCGGCGUGCUUAACACAUGCAAGUCGAACGGAAAGGCCCUGCUUUUGUGGGGUGCUCGAGUGGCGAACGGGUGAGUAACACGUGAGUAACCUGCCCUUGACUUUGGGAUAACUUCAGGAAACUGGGGCUAAUACCGGAUAGGAGCUCCUGCUGCAUGGUGGGGGUUGGAAAGUUUCGGCGGUUGGGGAUGGACUCGCGGCUUAUCAGCUUGUUGGUGGGGUAGUGGCUUACCAAGGCUUUGACGGGUAGCCGGCCUGAGAGGGUGACCGGCCACAUUGGGACUGCGAUACGGCCCAGACUCCUACGGGAGGCAGCAGUGGGGAAUAUUGCACAAUGGGCGGAAGCCUGAUGCAGCAACGCCGCGUGCGGGAUGACGGCCUUCGGGUUGUAAACCGCUUCCGCCUGUGACGAAGCGUGAGUGACGGUAAUGGGUAAAGAAGCACCGGCUAACUACGUG